rnacentral:rRNA from 1 species
CCUACGGGUGGCAGCAGUCGAGAAUCAUUCACAAUGGGGGAAACCCUGAUGGUGCGACGCCGCGUGGGGGAAUGAAGGUCUUCGGAUUGUAAACCCCUGUCAUGUGGGAGCAAAUUAACAAGAUAGUACCACAAGAGGAAGAGACGGCUAACUCUGUGCCAGCAGCCGCGGUAAUACAGAGGUCUCAAGCGUUGUUCGGAAUCACUGGGCGUAAAGCGUGCGUAGGCUGUUUCGUAAGUCGUGUGUGAAAGGCGCGGGCUCAACCCGCGGACGGCACAUGAUACUGCGAGACUAGAGUAAGGGAGGGGGAACCGGAAUUCUCGGUGUAGCAGUGAAAUGCGUAGAUAUCGAGAGGAACACUCGUGGCGAAGGCGGGUUCCUGGACAUUAACUGACGCUGAGGCACGAAGGCCAGGGGAGCGAAAGGGAUUAGAUACCCGGGUAGUC